rnacentral:rRNA from 1 species
UUGGGCACUCUAAGUUGACUGCCGGUGACAAACCGGAGGAAGGUGGGGAUGACGUCAAAUCAUCAUGCCCCUUAUGAUUUGGGCUACACACGUGCUACAAUGGACAAUACAAAGGGCAGCGAAACCGUGAGGUCAAGCAAAUCCCAUAAAGUUGUUCUCAGUUCGGAUUGUAGUCUGCAACUCGACUACAUGAAGCUGGAAUCGCUAGUAAUCGUAGAUCAGCAUGCUACGGUGAAUACGUUCCCGGGUCUUGUA